UCGAGCGAGUCUGCCUUGAAGAUCGGAGUGCUUGCACUCUGUGAAACAAGAUACAGGCUAGCGGCGGACGGGUGAGUAACACGUGGGUAACCUGCCCAAGAGAUCGGGAUAACACCUGGAAACAGAUGCUAAUACCGGAUAACAACAGAUGAUGCCUAUCAACUGUUUAAAAGAUGGUUCUGCUAUCACUCUUGGAUGGACCUGCGGUGCAUUAGCUAGUUGGUAGGGUAACGGCCUACCAAGGCGAUGAUGCAUAGCCGAGUUGAGAGACUGAUCGGCCACAUUGGGACUGAGACACGGCCCAAACUCCUACGGGAGGCAGCAGUAGGGAAUCUUCCACAAUGGACGCAAGUCUGAUGGAGCAACGCCGCGUGAGUGAAGAAGGGUUUCGGCUCGUAAAGCUCUGUUGUUGGUGAAGAAGGACAGGGGUAGUAACUGACCUUUGUUUGACGGUAAUCAAUUAGAAAGUCACGGCUAACUACGUGCCAGCAGCCGCGGUAAUACGUAGGUGGCAAGCGUUGUCCGGAUUUAUUGGGCGUAAAGCGAGUGCAGGCGGCUCGAUAAGUCUGAUGUGAAAGCCUUCGGCUCAACCGGAGAAUUGCAUCAGAAACUGUCGAGCUUGAGUACAGAAGAGGAGAGUGGAACUCCAUGUGUAGCGGUGAAAUGCGU
rnacentral:rRNA from 1 species